CGAAUCAAAAACCUGUGCACACACACACACAUGAAAUCCCAGUGUGUUAUUGUGCGCAGUGGUGAUAGGAUGGCGCGAUUCAUUAUUAUUUCCGAGAAAUCAUCUUCGUCUGUCCGGCUGAGAGAGCUUCGAUUAU
ensembl:ncRNA F35G2.19 ncRNA